AUUGUGAUCGAGCCCUGAAUUGUCUUCGACUGACUUGUGAGGGCUCUUGGAGGUUACAGUUGAGGAGUGGAGCCUUGUUGAGCUGAUUUCUGGGACUUCUUGUGACUUGUUGGAGCCUAGUACUAGAGCCACCUACAGGAGAGGCUAGGGAUCGUGGCAAGGGAGUCGCGUCUAGC